rfam:Schistosoma haematobium scaffold134_24, whole genome shotgun sequence.
AUCCAGUUGACGAGUCCCAAACAGGACGAAACGCGCGUCCUGGAU